CAAAUGCAAUCAAAAGAAGGAAAAUGAAGAAUCUUGGAAAAGUCAUUUUCCGGGUUUGGUUCUGAACAAAGAAUUCAAAUUCAAAAGUUUCAAUAUACAAUAGUCUCUUCCAUUCUUGCGAUGGAUAUUUUAGAGACAUUCGCUCAUGAAGACCUUGCUUUUGUGAACAUUGACAUUGUAUCUCAUUGUGGGAAGGACUCAUACAACACCUCCAUUCGCCAACAACAAAGUCAAAGGGAAAGAGAUCGGCAAAAAAGACUUAGAACUAGGUGUAUUGAUUAGCGUAAAAGGAUAAAUUAGCCUAUGAAUUUGGGAAAUAAUUCUUUUGUUGUUCUCCAAUUGCAUGAAUCUAUAAUGCAUCACAAUCCUGAUGCUUCUACUUCAAAUAAACAAAUACAUGAUAUUUGUAAUUUUGAAUUAGAAGGAACUCUUAAUGGAUUGAACGUGCCAUCUACCGCUUAUAUAUUACCAACACCCAUCUAUUGUAAGCAUUGUAAUGCCUGUAAAUUUUAUAGAGAAACUAAAGAUUUUUGUUGUUUUGAUGGAAAAA